AUUUGAUGAUUUACGGAUUUCUUGAGUGGUCUUUUCUGACAUCAUCGAUAACAAUUACAACAAACGCCACCACUCACGAGGUGUCCACGGAGCUUCUGGUUCGUACCACCGUUUUAUUCACAUGGUUCGUUCUCGGCUUUCAAACCAACAAAUUAAGAAUGUUUCACCGACUGAUGUCUAUACGACGAAGGUUUCGAAUUUUGAACGAUUCUAUCGGCAACUAUUUUCAGAUAUCGAGUGACAAACGAAAGAUAUCCAUAUGUGAGGGAAGCUUAUGCAAAUGACAGCUCAUCCAGAAGAUUGCCACCCUCCACAAUGAGUUGUGCUCUACGAUCGAUCUAUUCAAUGGAUCGUUAGCCCGGCAAGCGAUGUACGGUAUGACGAUUUCGUUUGUUUACAUUACAUUCGCCAUUUUUGGGGUAAUUCAUACCUAUGCGGCUAAUAACGAGAACUCUAUGCCAAUCAGACUGGCCUUUUCGAAUUUCAUAUUUAGUAUAUUCUACGUUUUGUAUAUUGUACAAAUUUUAGUCGCAUCGGAAAUGGUUAACAUUGAGACCAAAAGAACUGGAAUAAUAGCCCACAAAAUCAUCAGUUACGAUACAGUCGAUCGAGAUGCACGCCACCAGAUGCAUCUUUUUUCUCAACAGUUGAGGGAUCGUUGCCCA